AAAGGGCGUGUAGGCGGCGGAUUUAGUUAGGCGUGAAAGCCCCGGGCUCAACCUGGGAACUGCGCUUAAUACUGAUCUGCUAGAGUCCGGGAGAGGCGAGUGGAAUAUCCAGUGUAGAGGUGAAAUUCGUAGAUAUUGGAUGGAACACCAGUGGCGAAGGCGGCUCGCUGGACCGGAACUGACGCUGAGGCGCGAAAGCGUGGGGAGCAAACAGGAUUAGAUACCCCAGU
rnacentral:rRNA from 1 species